AAUAAGGUACUAGUAUAACUGACAGAACACUGCUUUGUCAAGGCAGAAGUGUGGGUUAAACCCCCACGUACCUUG
rnacentral:tRNA from 1 species